rnacentral:rRNA from 1 species
GCGUGCCUAAUACAUGCAAGUCGAGCGAAGUUUUAAAAGCUUGCUUUUGAAACUUAGCGGCGGACGGGUGAGUAACACGUGGGCAACCUGCCUGUAAGACUGGGAUAACUUCGGGAAACCGGAGCUAAUACCGGAUAAUACUUUUCUUCUCAUGAGGAAAAGUUGAAAGAUGGCUUCGGCUAUCACUUACAGAUGGGCCCGCGGCGCAUUAGCUAGUUGGUGAGGUAACGGCUCACCAAGGCGACGAUGCGUAGCCGACCUGAGAGGGUGAUCGGCCACACUGGGACUGAGACACGGCCCAGACUCCUACGGGAGGCAGCAGUAGGGAAUCUUCCGCAAUGGACGAAAGUCUGACGGAGCAACGCCGCGUGAGUGAUGAAGGUUUUCGGAUCGUAAAACUCUGUUGUUAGGGAAGAACAAGUACCGUUCGAAUAGGGCGUAC